UAAAUAUGAAAACAAUAACUUUCGGUGCCAACCGCAAAGUGCGCACUAUCUUAAUCUACUGAAAUUUUCUACGCCAAAAUAAGAGCAUAAAUUCUGCGACAGCACACUGUAAUCAACUGGAAACAAGAAAAGGAUGACUUAUUGUAAAUAAAAUUAUUAAAAGCACUAUAAAAACUAAUCCCAGUUGCACCCCAAUUGAAUACUUAUGUAUAACCUAGCUUGUAUCUGCGAAAUAGAUCUUCCGUUUUGGCAUUCCUGAAGGCACAGCAACCUAUCAAAUAUACACAUAUCAAAGCAAUGAGUGUAAUGAGCAAUAUAAUAUCUGCUCUUCUCCAUUCUUUUUUCAGAUUAGCCAACAAUCCGGCCUUGCAGGAAUCACAGUUGUAGCAAAGUUGGUUUUGGUCAUUGUUCCACUUGAGGCAGUCCAUGUCUGCAGCAUUGUUUAUGGGACUAAUCCAAUACGUUGGGUUCACAAAGGUGUACCCACAUUGCGUAGGAGGCUUGCAGCAUCCUGACUGCAAGGGGGUAAUACGAGCAUUAAAGAAAUCUUGAGCCAUGCGAUAUCUUUGGUUCAACUCAGAACACAUAUCUGUUGAACUAAGGCAGCUUCUUAUUCGAUCCCACUUGUAAGAACUUUGAACCCUUCUUCGAAGCCAUCCUGAAAAAUCAUCAAAGUGAUAUUCCAAGUAGGCUCUACUGGGUGCAGGGCGACCUGAGCCCCUGACGGUAACCAUAUAGAUGAAAACCACUAAACAUGCAAGCAAUAUUAUAAGGAUGAGCAUUGCAAUUAGAUAAAAGAUGAGGAGCCAUGGAAUUCUCCAAAAAGCUCCAACAAACCCUGCCAAAGCAACUACCAAAAUCAAUAUCCCCAAAAUAAUGACAGGCCAUUGUAGAAUCUUGACACAAGAGUUGUCUGGUUCCAUCGCAAGCCAUAUCCCAGCUCCUAUUAUUGGAAUGGAGAGAAGCAUGGCAGCGAAGUUGAUCGCACCGAUAACAUUGUUGCUUAGUGCCAUUUUAGCGAGAGAAUUGUUUUGGGUUUUGUUUGUUCUUGGAGUUCAAAUAAUGACCAGGAAAAGAUAGAUGUUGAAAAAAUAGCUACAUGAUCUGAUAUGCUGCUUUAUUCAUAUGAGUGCACUCCAACUUUUAUUCCUUACCUUGGAUCCAUGACAACUCCUAAAGCAAGCUAUAACUGCAACAAUUUUUAAAGUUUAUUUUCAUCUUUAGGCCCAUUCACUUGUUGAAAAGGAGUUCCUUCCAUAUGAUAGAGAAUAUAAAGAAACAAUUACUUGUAUGCCAAUAUGCGCCAUGGACAUUGGACAAAUUAAAAGAUAUAACUGACUAUCCUACCAUUUUGGUUGCUUGCAUGCUUCUCCUUUCACAUUUUGGAAUUAGAAAUAAAUCUUGA
rnacentral:misc_RNA from 1 species